UGGCAGGGGCGUGGUCUGGGCAGGGCUAGCCGCCCGGCCGGGCUCUCCCGCCCUCUGGUGGCCGGGUCGCGUUAGGCCAGUACCACUGACCCUUGCGUCCUAGGAUUCAAAGCCACUGAGAAGUUGCCCAGAGCUGGGACCCCCACCUGCCUAGGAACUACAGGCCCCGGCUGGUGUACCAGCACCGAGCAUCACAGCCCCCCAAGAGUAAGGCCUGACCACCAGCCAGACCUCAAGAGCACCUGGCAUCUUCUGGACAGAAAUUAGAAUGACAGCUACCAGAAACAUUCCCCAACGCAGCUGGGAAGACCCAAGAGUACUUCUGUCAUUCAGUGGCACCUGGCUGCAUUCCAGUCAGGGCACCUCUUCUGUGGUUCUGCUCACAAACAUGGCUAUUUCUGAUCACUCUCCUCCCCUUCACUGCCUGAUGUUUUCAAAGAGCAGCCUGCCCUCUUUCAACUUCCCCAUCUUACUCUUAUUCCACAGUGUUCUGAAAAAAGGUCACCAGGAAAACCUCAAAUGCCAAAUCCAGUGUGCUGGUUUUCAGACCUUACUCCUGCCACCUUUCCGAGGAAACUCCCCCCCCCCAAAAACACACACACACCCCAGCUGGGUCCUGAACCCCGGUCACCUCGGAGCACUGUUUCAGGCUCCUUUUCCUUCUUCAUCUUCCCUUUAAUGUUGGAAUCAUUGCAUGCUUGACUGAGACUGCUUCUCUUCUCCCAGAGCAGUUUCGUCCGUCUGUCCAUCCCACUCAAACUGGUAGCCCGGAUUUCUCUCUUGAGCUGAGACUCUGAUUCUCGUGCCUCAGGCAUCGGGGCCAAGGCAGGCUCCAGCCCUUAGCAGCACUGUGUGGAGGACAAAGCUUCCCACAGAGGAAGCCUAGACGACAGCCAGCUCACACCCGAACUCUAGCAUGUGUUCUUUCAAGCUAACGUCCUGCUCACAGUAAACCACACCUCAGCACACAGAACACCGGGAAGGGAGUCUUCACUGGGAUUUUUAUCCCUCCAUGCCCGUCCACACUCUGAUUUCUGUUUAGAUUGCCUCCCUCCCUCAAUUCCCUCAUCAACCAUUCACUCUAUACCCAGUCAGCAAGUCACUCUAACCGCCAUUUAUUCCUGGAUAAAGACUGAUCCCUGGUGAGCUGGGAAACAGAGAUGACCCAGAUGUUUGAGAGAACCUGACACAAUGAGAAUCAUUAGCAUCCUCUAAAUUACACUCCCCCCAAAAAAGGGGGGGAGGGGAAAAUAAACACUUUGCAUUUGUGGUUUCA